rnacentral:rRNA from 1 species
CGAUGCCAAACCGGAGGAAGGUGGGGAUGACGUCAAGUCAUCACGCCCUUUAUGUCCAGGGCUACACACGUGCUACAAUGGCCGGUACAACGGGCUGCGAUACCGCGAGGUGGAGCGAAUCCCUUAAAGCCGGUCUCAGUUCGGAUUGGAGUCUGUAACUCGACUCCAUGAAGGCGGAAUUGCUAGUAAUCGCGAAUCAGCAACGUCGCGGUGAAUACGUUCCCGGGCCUUGUACACACCGCC